AUUUUCGCGUCGAGAAAAAUAAAUAAUCAAGACAGGAAAAUUGCAUAACAAAUGUAGUAUUUGAUUUCAAUAAAUGAAAGUGUUACAAUCUCUAUGGUAUUCCUCUGAUUCUUCAAGAAUGUAAAGUGUCUUGAGCUUGACUUUGAUUUGAUUCAGGGGCUUGUAAAGCUUAGUCUUGAAUCUCCUCCUUGAACUUGAAUUUGUGUUUGAUCACGAACAAGUAAUUUGAUCUUGAACGCCUGGGUAUUUGAUUUGGCUUCAUUCUUGAUCUUGAACUUGUAGCUUGAGUGCUUGAACUUGUAGCUUGAAGAGAUAUAUGCGGUGUUUGAUCCACGAGCUCUCGGCUUGCUUCUUGUUC
rnacentral:lncRNA from 1 species